rnacentral:rRNA from 1 species
AGCAGCCGCGGUAAUUCCAGCUCCAAUAGCGUAUAUUAAAGUUGUUGCAGUUAAAAAGCUCGUAGUUGAAUUUCGGGAUCAGUACGUCGGUCGUGCCUUGGUACGUACUGGCGUCGCUGAUUUCUCCCUUCUGACGAACCGUGAUGCCAUUAAUUUGGUGUUGCGGGGAAUCAGGACUGUUACUUUGAAAAAUUAGAGUGUUUAAAGCGGGCACGCGCUUGAAUACAUUAGCAUGGAAUAACGAAAUAGGACGUUCGAUCUUAUUUUGUUGGUUUCUAGGAUUGACGUAAUGAUUAAUAGGGAUAGUUGGGGGCAUUAGUAUUCAAUUGUCAGAGGUGAAAUUCUUGGAUUUAUUGAAGACUAACUACUGCGAAAGCAUUUGCCAAGGAUGUUUUCAUUAAUCAAGAACGAAAGUUAGGGGAUCGAAGACGAUCAGAUACCGUCGUAGUC